CCCUUAGAUGUUCUGGGCCGCACGCGUGCUACACUGAGUGGAUCAGCGGGUCAGGUUGCGCGAAAGCGUUUCCUAAUCUUUAAAUCCGCUCGUGAUGGGGAUUGACGGUUGCAAUUUUCUGUCAUGAACGAGGAAUACCUUGUAAGCGCGGGUCAUCAUCCCGCGCUGAAUACGUCCCUGCCCUUUGUACCCACCGCCCGUCGCUCCUACCGAUUGAGUGGUCCGGUGAGGCUUUGGGAUCUGAGCGGAAAGAGCGUUUCGCUGUUUCUGCUCGGAAAACUCAGUCGAACCUUAUCAUUUAGAGGAAGGAGAAGUCGUAACA
rnacentral:rRNA from 1 species